CUCUCCCCGAUUCUCUCUUCCUCUCCGAGCUCUUCACCUUUUUCCGGCCAUAACUCCUCCAUCCGGCGACGGAUUUUGACGUGUAAGAUGUCGUUGGAAAGCUCUCUUCCUUCUCUUCAUUUCUGGGUUCGUUUCGUAGCUUAAUAUGAACUGUGGAAGGUGCAGCAACGAGAAGAAGAGGACGGUCACUGUAGCAGUUUUGAGUCAACGCCGAUAUUUUCCGAUUCCGGCAGUCUCCGGCCACCAAAUUGGAGUCGAAUUUUCGGUUUUUGACAUAGAUCAUUUCCCCUAACAUCUUUCAUUUCAAUUUGUAGUGUAGAGGUCGAAUUAACAAUUUCAAUUUCUAGGGUUCUUGGAAUUUCUGGAAAAUUUUCACCGGCCAAAUUGGAGCUCUUCCAGGACGAUAUAUCGAGUUACCGCUUGACGAAGGAACUCGUUUUCGUGGUCGCCAACCAGUAUUUUUGCAGGCGCUAUUAGUUGAGGUCGGGCGUACAUGGUUCGAGGCAUAGUUGAUGAAUUGCUUCCGCACUUCUUUGUUUGGCUCUGACCUAUCGUGGGUUACUGUUUUGGGUAGUCCACUUUAGUGGUGACUCGACCAGUUCCCGGUAGAGUUAUCUCUAAGGUGGGCCCCGUAGGGCCACCUCGGAUUUCAGGGCGAAAUUCGGGGCGGGUCCUGUCAGAUAUUCUCUCUCAUGGAUGGAGAAAUGUCAAAUAUGACUAAAAUACUAGAAGACUUAAAGUGCUAAUGAAUUUAUUUAUACUUUCAUGCUAUGAAAUCUAAGUCCUAAUAGCUCAAUAUUGUGAUAUUUUAGAAUGUGAAAGAUAGGGUUAAUCGACCCUCUUAAUCCAACUCGAGUUGAUAUUAAAUUUGAUCUUAGAAAAAGUUUACUCCUCGUGAUCAUUAUGACAACUCACUUGAGAUCGAUUUUUUGAUUGCAUUUUGACAAGUUCUCACUUAAAAUGUACCCAGUAACGUUUAUAUGUAUGGAGGAGUUUUUGAAUUGAAUAUUUGAAUUGUGCGUCUGGUUGCUUCAGGUUCGUGGAGAAUUGCCGUUUCAAAAGUGUAACGGUUCAUUUCAAAAUGCAAUGAAUGUUGGACAAGAACAACCUUCAUCUGUUGAGGAACCUAUUGGAGAGCCUCAGAAACCUAUGCUUCUAUAUUACGCAUUGCUAAAGGACAACAUGCACCAUCUGUAGCUCCUCAGCAUGCAGUUAACAAGAGUGCACCACUAGCUUCAGAUUGGAAUGAUUGUCCAAUGCAGUUGAAAUGCCUGUACGUAGCAGAGACAGCAGAUGAAGUUUAUGCCCUAGAACCUCUUAGCUUCCUUCAAUUGUUACCAUUGAGUUGUGAGAUUCAGCCUUUAUGAGUUAUUUGAGUUACCGCUCUA